GCUCACUUCGUCAACAUAUAUACUAAAAUUGGAGUGACACAGAGGUUAGCAUGGCCCCUGGGGAAGGAUGACAAACACAUUCAUGAAACACUCCAUAUUUUU
ensembl:snRNA U6 U6 spliceosomal RNA